AUUGAACGCUGGCGGCAUGCCUUACACAUGCAAGUCGAACGGCAGCGGGCCUUCGGGUGCCGGCGAGUGGCGAACGGGUGAGUAAUGCAUCGGAACGUGCCAUUGAGUGGGGGAUAACGUAGCGAAAGUUGCGCUAAUACCGCAUAUUCUGUGAGCAGGAAAGCAGGGGACCGCAAGGCCUUGCGCUCUUUGAGCGGCCGAUAUCAGAUUAGCUAGUUGGUGAGGUAAAGGCUCACCAAGGCGACGAUCUGUAGCGGGUCUGAGAGGAUGAUCCGCCACACUGGAACUGAGACACGGUCCAGACUCCUACGGGAGGCAGCAGUGGGGAAUUUUGGACAAUGGGGGCAACCCUGAUCCAGCCAUGCCGCGUGAGUGAAGAAGGCCUCGGUUGUAAAGACGUCUUUCGGUCCGGGAACGGAAAUACGC
rnacentral:rRNA from 1 species